rnacentral:rRNA from 1 species
GGAUGCGAUCAUACCAGCACUGAAGCACCGGAUCCCAUCAGAACUCUGAAGUUAAGCGUGCUUGGGCAAGAGUAGUACUAGGAUGGGUGACCUCCUGGGAAGUCCUCGUGUUGCAUUCC